rnacentral:rRNA from 1 species
UGAGUAACACGUAUCCAACCUGCCGUCUACUCUUGGACAGCCUUCUGAAAGGAAGAUUAAUACAAGAUGGCAUCAUGAGUUCACAUGUUCACAUGAUUAAAGGUAUUCCGGUAGACGAUGGGGAUGCGUUCCAUUAGAUAGUAGGCGGGGUAACGGCCCACCUAGUCUUCGAUGGAUAGGGGUUCUGAGAGGAAGGUCCCCCACAUUGGAACUGAGACACGGUCCAAACUCCUACGGGAGGCAGCAG